rnacentral:rRNA from 1 species
UAGGGAAUAUUAGAAAUGGACGAAAGUCUGAUCUAGCAACACCGCGUGUGCGAAGAAGGCCUUCGGGUCGUAAAGCACUUUUUGGAAGGAAUAGGAAGGAAUGUACUUCCAGAAUAAGUCUCGGCUAACUACGUGCCAGCAGCCGCGGUAACACGUAGGAGGCAAACGUUAUCCGGAUUUACUGGGCGUAAAGCGCGUGUAGGUGGUACUGUAAGUAGGGCGUGAAAGCUCCUGGCUCAACUGGGAGAGGCCGUUCUAAACUACAGAACUAGAGGAUGGUAGAGGGAGGUGGAAUUCCAGGUGUAGCGGUGGAAUGCGCAGAUAUCUGGAGGAACACCGGUGGCGAAGGCGGCCUCCUGGACCAUUCCUGACACUCAGACGCGAAAGCUAGGGUAGCAAACGGG